ensembl:lncRNA
GAAAUGCAGGCUUGUUGGGCUUGUUUUGAAUUUUAACCUCGGAUGGAAGAGCCCUAGUGCUGUCUGUCUCCAUGCGGGAUGAUGAUUGCUAGGCAACAGGUGAUUAUCAACCAACGAUGCCACGGUUAUACUCUGCAAGGUGGUGUUCCAGUGGCAAACUGCUGUGUAAACUCUUAUAAACAGGAACUACUGACAAUCAAAACCUAUAGUCAACAUUGGGAUCUGGCUUAAUUAUUCAGCAACUAAAAGAUGAGUUCUAAUUGGCAGACUUCUGGCACUGGCACUUGUCCUCCUGUUUCUGUAGAAAGUGGGUUGGAAGUCAGAGCUGCACAAAGGGAAAGGGUAAGUUUCUUUUAAUUCCAUAUUUAUAAACCCAUAUCUUAUUAACUAUGGCAUGGUGUCAGUUUCCAUGUAAGAAUAUACAUCCAGUGAGGAAGAUCUCAAAUAUAAACUACUAAUUUUCACUUGAGUGGAAACUGACAUCAAGUCAUUAAAUAUAAUAGGAGGGUUUAAAUAUGGAUUUAUUUUUCUUGUGACUCUGACUUCAAUUUCUUGAACAAAUGAACUCAACAUAACUCUCACCUUCAGUUAUUUUUAAAUUGGAAGCAUAAUACUGAUUUUUCUCCUUAGAUCUUAGUCUGUUGUACUUUUCUGGUAAGUGAAAAUUGGAAUUUAAAAUAUAUACAGAGGACAUUUAAAAAGUCUGCAUGAAUUAUAGGCCUUUUUGUAGCAAUCUAAUUCUCUUUUUCUUUACAAAGCAAGUACUGUACUACUGACCAGUUUUAGCCUCUCUUCUCUUAGCUAAACAGGAUGAGUUCGUCUGUUGGAGCACAUACCUUUGGUCUCAUCCAAGCAUUACAUCUCAUCUACACUCAUUAUUUGUAGACUUAAGACACCUGCCAAUUGGUGAGUCAUUUUAUUGCUGUAGCCUCAGAGGUCCCUGCUGCAGAGUUGCAGUAUAUAUGCUUGAAAUUGUUUGAAGUGUGACAAACUCCUGAUUUAUACUUUGGUAUAUGUAAAUAAUUUACAUAAAACUGACUACCUUCAAGAUACUGGAAACAAGACAUUCUUAGUUCUUGCUUUUUAUUUUUUUCUUUGUUUUUGUACUAGUGGGCCUUUUUUUGUUUGUUUUCUUGGCAGUACUGGAGUUUGAACUCAGGGCCUCAUGUCUGCUAGGCAGGUGCUCUUUACCAUAUAAGUUUGUUUUUGUGCUACUGGGGAUUGAACCCAGGGUUUUAUGCUUACCAAGCAACCUCUUGAGCCCUGCCUCCAGCCCAUCUCUUGUUCUUUAAAAGUAACAUAUCUUAUUUCCUCAGUCCUGACACACAUUACUUUUAAAGGCAUAGGUGAAUCAUGCCUGUAAUCAUAGGUACUUGGAAGGCUGAGAUUGGGAGGAUCGUGGUUUAAGGCAAAAUGGUAUGGAGAUGUGGCUCAAGUGGUAGAGCACCUGUUUGACAAGUGCAAAGCCUUGAGUUCAAACCCCAGUCUCACCAAAAGAAAAACAAAAAGUGAUGGAAUUCUUAUUUCCCUGCUGUAAGAACAUUGGUGUUGGUUAAUAUAAGCCAAAGAGUGGGAAACCAUGGCUUUAUUUCUGCCAGAUGUCACUUGUAAAAAUAGUAUAAGAAGCAAAAGUUGAAAGUUUGGCAGUGGGAAAGAUAAACUCAUUUUUAAAGAUUUCAGAAGUCCUUGACAAGUUCAUGCCUAAAAGUGGGUUCUAAAAAUUUUGUGUGUCUUGUUAGUUUUUGUUAUGCUAGGUGGGGCUUGCAUGAGGUAGAAUUGAAUUUGUGGUGGGUUUUUUGGUUUUUUUUUGGAAGGUGGUUAGAAAAAAAAACUAGUGUGCUGUUGUCUGCUGUCCAGACAUGGUCUCCUUAAUACUGGCUAACUUGUCUUGGUUUUAAAACUAAGUCUUGGGUCUUAAGAACUCCCUCAUUUCUGACUAAACCCUGACAGUUUAUCAACCUAAUCCUAGCUCAUUCUCUGCUUCCCUAAAAAGUCUUCACUAAGUUGACCAUCAUUUUGGAUUGAAGGAUAUACUAUAUAAAGAUACAGUGUAUUUCACAGUAUACUAAUAUACUAACCUAGAACUCUCAACAAUCCUCCUGCAUCCUGAGUGUUGGAAUUAUAGGUAUGUACCACCAUGUCUGGCAUAGGUUCAAGAAAAGACUUGUCUAUCAGUGGGAGAGGGGAGGGGGAAAGGAUAGGGUACUGAGGAGGUGAAGAGGAUCAAAGUACAUCAUGUAUAUAUAUGUUUGUAUAUACACACAUACAUGAAGAUAGCAUUAUUAAAUUCCUUAAAUACUAUGUGAAAAAGAGGGGGAAGAGAGACAAGUUAAAGAUACAUAAUAGGAUGUGAACCUGUCCAGGUUAUACUGUUCACAUCUAUAGAAUUAUCACAGUGAAACCCCUCAUUCUAUUAAUGUAUACUAAUUUUUAAAAGAGCAAAAAAGGGGAGAAAGGGAAUAAGAAAGAGAAAAAUGACUUAUUUUUCCUCAUGAUCCUCGGUAAUACCAAUUUACUUCUCAUAGAAAAAAAACAUGAAUUUUAAACUGGUUUUAAAAAGCUGAUUCCGAGUAUUUCAGCAAUUUUUUCAUUUAUGUGUAUAUAUUAAGACCAUAGGUGAUGGAUGGGAGAUGAAAGAGAGCAGUGGAGGGGGCGAAUUCAAGUAUGAUAUAUUUGAUACAUUGUAAGAAUCUUUGUAAAUACUCCAGUGUACCCCCACCCAGCACAAUAAUAAUUUAAAAAAUCCAUGUUAAAAAAGAAAAAGACAUAGGUUAUAAAGUGUGAGACACUGAGGUGGAUUUCUUUUUCUUUUUUUUUUUUUAGGAAGUACUGGGGUUUUAGCUCAGAGCCUCACACUUGAUAGAUAGCUGCUCUACCACUUGAGUCACUCCACCAGCACUUCAGGUGGGUAUUUGUGGCAAAUGAAUAGCCACAUGAGGCAAACAUACAUACCUAAGCUUGGCUUAAGAGAAACUCAAACCUUUUUAUAAAGUGCUGGGCUUUGGUGGGUGCCGUUGGCUCACACCUGUAAUCCUAGCUACUCAGGAGGCAGAGAUCAGGAGGAUCAAGGUUUGAAGCCAGCCCAGGCAAAUAGUUCGCGAGACCGUGUCUCGAAAAUACCUAACACAACAGGGCUGGUGGAGUGGCUCAAGGUGUAGGCCCUGAGUUCAAGCCCCAGUACUGGAAAAAAAAAAAAAGUAUUGGGCUUUAAUUUUUAUAUUGAGGUCUUGAGAGAAAUUACUUCAAAUUUUGUAUUAUGUCUCUUAAUUAAAAUAUUAAUAUGUGGGAUUUUUUUUUCUCCUAGAAAAGGGAUUUUGCAAUUAGGCAAAUUUAUUUACUAAAGUGCUAAAUUUUUGCAGACAAACACAUGUGCCUAGAUUAUUUGAAAAAUACCACAAGAUUAUCAUUUUAGUUCAUGUAAAUGUAAUCAUUGAUUUAAGUGAAUUUAAAGUUCUAGAGAAUUAUUGAAGAAGAAAAACCAGAGGCCCUGAUCUAAUUAACACUAGUAAUUAGAUUUUCUUGCAAGCAUGUAUAAGUAUGUGUGGCAGGGUGUGCUGAGGAUUUAGAUGGUAGGAUCUCCAUGCUGUUUUAUACAGAGUGACACCCCCUAGCCCAAUAAAUAGGUAUUAGGAUUGGCUUUGCUAAGAACU